GACGAACGCUGGCGGCGUGCUUAACACAUGCAAGUCGAACGGAAAGGCCCUGCUUUUGUGGGGUGCUCGAGUGGCGAACGGGUGAGUAACACGUGAGUAACCUGCCCUUGACUUUGGGAUAACUUCAGGAAACUGGGGCUAAUACCGGAUAGGAGCUCCUGCUGCAUGGUGGGGGUUGGAAAGUUUCGGCGGUUGGGGAUGGACUCGCGGCUUAUCAGCUUGUUGGUGGGGUAGUGGCUUACCAAGGCUUUGACGGGUAGCCGGCCUGAGAGGGUGACCGGCCACACUGGGACUGGGAUACGGCCCGGACUCCUACGGGAGGCAGCAGUGGGGAAUAUUGCACAAUGGGCGGAAGCCUGAUGCAGCAACGCCGCGUGCGGGAUGACGGCCUUCGGGUUGUAAACCGCUUUCGCCUGUGACGAAGCGUGAGUGACGGUAAUGGGUAAAGAAGCACCGGCUAACUACGUG
rnacentral:rRNA from 1 species